GAUGAACGCUGGCGGCGUGCCUAAUACAUGCAAGUCGAGCGAACGGACGAGAAGCUUGCUUCUCUGAUGUUAGCGGCGGACGGGUGAGUAACACGUGGAUAACCUACCUAUAAGACUGGGAUAACUUCGGGAAACCGGAGCUAAUACCGGAUAAUAUUUUGAACCGCAUGGUUCAAAAGUGAAAGACGGUCUUGCUGUCACUUAUAGAUGGAUCCGCGCUGCAUUAGCUAGUUGGUAAGGUAACGGCUUACCAAGGCAACGAUGCAUAGCCGACCUGAGAGGGUAAUCGGCCACACUGGAACUGAGACACGGUCCAGACUCCUACGGGAGGCAGCAGUAGGGAAUCUUCCGCAAUGGGCGAAAGCCUGACGGAGCAACGCCGCGUGAGUGAUGAAGGUCUUCGGAUCGUAAAACUCUGUUAUUAGGGAAGAACAUAUGUGUAAGUAGCUGUGCACAUCUUGACGGUACCUAAUCAGAAAGCCACGGCUAACUACGUG
rnacentral:rRNA from 1 species